AGAGUCAAGACAUCAACACAUGAAUCAGACAGGAUGAGAGGAGGAUAAGGCUAAAGACAGAGGCUCCAGCUACCUUGGUGACAAGGAAUGGAGGAGAAAAGGAACAGGAAAUUUUAAUAAGAUUAGGAGGGCUUGCUUUUCUGCCAAGUGAGUCACAGAUUUAGCGUGAUGUUGAGCCCCACAGCCUGAUAACAGAGAGUAUAAUGAUGAUUAUUGCGUCAAUAAAUUUUUUUUUUGAGAUGGAGACUCACUCUGUCACCCCGGCUGCAGUGCAGUGGUGUGAUCUCAGCUCACUGCAACCCCUGCCUCCCAGGUUCUAGUGAGUCUCCUGCCUCAGCCUCCCGAGCAGCUGGGACUACAGCCGCUUUCACAGGAGCGAUAAAUUGGAAAUGUUAUCUGGCUUGAUAUGCCAGUUUUUCUGAGAAAAUCACUCUGCCAGUGGUGACAGAAUGGAAGAGCUGAAAACAUCUUCUUUUUUCAAAGUCAUAUGUCACGAACCAAGGAGACUCCAAAAAAUAAAUUAUGGAAGAUUAUGACCACUGCUGCCAAGGAUACAGUGAAAUAGAUCCAUUAAAGAAUUGAGAUUGCAGGACACACUACCACCCUGAAAACUGGAGAGAGGAAAAAUACAGAGAGGAAGCAGAUCAGCUUACCUGAAGCAGAGGCCGCUGGAAUCUGUGACAGGUCCGAGGAAGUUCCUGAGAUAACUUUGUGAGUGGUCCACUAUUUCUGCAUUUCACAGCAUUGCUAUACUCCAAACUUUGUUCUACUCAUUGUUCAACUCAAUGCCUUGAACCUGGCAUAUAAUAGAUGCUGAAUACAUGAGUUAUAAUUGAAAACAA
rnacentral:lncRNA from 1 species